rnacentral:rRNA from 1 species
UUGUCCCCUACGACUUACUACGCACUCCUACGGGAGGCAGCAGUGGGGAAUAUUGCACAAUGGGCGCAAGCCUGAUGCAGCCAUGCCGCGUGUAUGAAGAAGGCCUUCGGGUUGUAAAGUACUUUCAGCAGUGAGGAAGGUGGAUAUGUUAAUAGCAUAUUCAUUUGACGUUAGCUGCAGAAGAAGCACCGGCUAACUCCGUGCCAGCAGCCGCGGUAAUACGGAGGGUGCGAGCGUUAAUCGGAAUUACUGGGCGUAAAGCGCAUGCAGGUGGUUUGUUAAGUCAGAUGUGAAAGCCCGGGGCUCAACCUCGGAAUUGCAUUUGAAACUGGCAAACUAGAGUACUGUAGAGGGGGUAGAAUUUCAGGUGUAGCGGUGAAAUGCGUAGAGAUCUGAAGGAAUACCGGUGGCGAAGGCGGCCCCCUGGACAGAUACUGACACUCAGAUGCGAAAGCGUGGGGAGCAAACAGGAUUAGAUACCCUGGUAG